AAACCAACAGGGAUUGCCCCAGUAGCGGCGAGUGAAGCGGCAAGAGCUCAGAUUUGAAAUCGUGCUAAUUUUUUUGGCACGAGUUGUAGAGUGUAGGCGGGAGUCUUUGUGGAGCACGGUGUCCAAGUCCCUUGGAACAGGGCGCCUGAGAGGGUGAGAGCCCCGUGGGGUGCCGUGCGAAGCUUUGAGGCCCUGCUGACGAGUCGAGUUGUUUGGGAAUGCAGCUCCAAGUGGGUGGUAAAUUCCAUCUAAGGCUAAAUACUGGCGAGAGACCGAUAGCGAACAAGUACUGUGAAGGAAAGAUGAAAAGCACUUUGAAAAGAGAGUGAAACAGCACGUGAAAUUGUUGAAAGGGAAGGGUAUUGGGCCCGACAUGGGGAGUGCGCACCGCUGUCUCUUGUAGGCGGCGCUCUGGGCGCUCUCUGGGCCAGCAUCGGUUCUUGCUGCGGGAGAAUGGGUGCCGGAAAGUGGCUCUUCGGAGUGUUAUAGCCGGCGCCAGAUACCGCGUG
rnacentral:rRNA from 1 species